AACGAACGCUGGCGGCAGGCCUAACACAUGCAAGUCGAACGCCCCGCAAGGGAGUGGCAGACGGGUGAGUAACACGUGGGAACAUACCCUUCGGUUCGGAAUAACUCAGGGAAACUUGAGCUAAGACCGGAUACGUCCGCGAGGAGAAAGAUUCAUCGCCGGAGGAUUGGCCCGCGUCCGAUUAGCUAGUUGGCGAGGUAACGGCUCACCAAGGCGACGAUCGGUAGCUGGUCUGAGAGGAUGAUCAGCCACAUUGGGACUGAGACACGGCCCAAACUCCUACGGGAGGCAGCAGUGGGGAAUAUUGGACAAUGGGCGAAAGCCUGAUCCAGCCAUGCCGCGUGAGUGAUGAAGGCCCUAGGGUUGUAAAGCUCUUUCGUCAGGGACGAUAAUGACGGUACUGAAGAAGAAGCCCCGGNUAACUUCGUGCCAGCCGCCGCAGUAAC
rnacentral:rRNA from 1 species